UCCUCGCUAGUAUAUCGGUUAGUAUAUUCGCCUCUCAGUAGAGAGACACCUUCGGGUAGAUCGCGAAAGAGCAGGGUUCAACUCCCUGGCGGGGAA